UACGGAAUGUGCAAACGUUAUUCGGAAUCACUGGGCUUAAAGGGCGCGUAGGCGGCCGAGCGGGUCGCGGGUGAAAUCCUCCAGCUUAACUGGAGAACUGCCCUCGAUACCACUGCGGCUCGAGGAAGGAAGGGGCAAUCGGAACUGUCGGUGGAGCGGUGAAAUGCGUUGAUAUCGACAGGAACGCCGGUGGCGAAAGCGGAUUGCUGGUCCUUUUCUGACGCUGAGGCGCGAAAGCCAGGGGAGCAAACGGG
rnacentral:rRNA from 1 species